CUGCAUCCACUGAUAGACCUUGAACAAUUUGUUGUUCUUAUGGUUUGCACUAGGAUGAUAAAGGAAAAAUCCCUGCACAUAAUUCUGCAUAAUUAGUGGUAUGUUU
rfam:Cavia porcellus supercont2_133 genomic scaffold, whole genome shotgun sequence.